GCUGGCGGCAGGCCUAACACAUGCAAGUCGAGCGCACUCUUCGGAGUGAGCGGCGGACGGGUUAGUAACGCGUGGGAACGUACCCAGAUCUAAGGAAUAGCCACUGGAAACGGUGAGUAAUACCUUAUACGCCCUUCGGGGGAAAGAUUUAUCGGAUUUGGAUCGGCCCGCGUUAGAUUAGGUAGUUGGUGGGGUAAUGGCCUACCAUUCCUACGAUCUAUAGCUGGUUUUAGAGGAUGAUCAGCAACACUGGGACUGAGACACGGCCCAGACUCCUACGGGAGGCAGCAGUGGGGAAUCUUAGACAAUGGGCGCAAGCCUGAUCUAGCCAUGCCGCGUGAGUGAUGAAGGCCUUAGGGUCGUAAAGCUCUUUCGCCUGUGAUGAUAAUGACAGUAGCAGGUAAAGAAACCCCGGCUAACUCCGUGCCAGCAGCCGCGGUAAUACGGAGGGGGUUAGCG
rnacentral:rRNA from 1 species